CCUACGGGUCGCAGCAGUGGGGAAUAUUGCACAAUGGGCGCAAGCCUGAUGCAGCCAUGCCGCGUGUAUGAAGAAGGCCUUCGGGUUGUAAAGUACUUUCAGCGAGGAGGAAGGCAUUAAGGUUAAUAACCUUGGUGAUUGACGUUACUCGCAGAAGAAGCACCGGCUAACUCCGUGCCAGCAGCCGCGGUAAUACGGAGGGUGCAAGCGUUAAUCGGAAUUACUGGGCGUAAAGCGCACGCAGGCGGUUUGUUAAGUCGGAUGUGAAAUCCCCGGGCUCAACCUGGGAACUGCAUUCGAAACUGGCAAGCUUGAGUCUUGUAGAGGGGGGUAGAAUUCCAGGUGUAGCAGUGAAAUGCGUAGAGAUCUGAAGGAAUACCAGUGGCGAAGGCGGCCCCCUGGACAAAGACUGACGCUCAGAUGCGAAAGCGUGGGGAGCAAACAGGAUUAGAUACCCUAGUAGUC
rnacentral:rRNA from 1 species